GCCGUUCUUUAUUCGCAAGAGACAAAAAAAAAGACAAAAAUUAGGCCAGUAAAGUUUCCAUCUUUCGGAUGAUGAUGAUAUGAUAUACACAACACCCACAUGAUACACGACGCCAUCGUCGUCUCGGCUGCCACUGCCAGGUGCCAGCAACACACACACACGCACACGCUGCCAAAAGCUUCCUUCUUUCCAGUUUUCCCACCCCGUCCUAUCUUUUGAAGCAACCUUCUCCAGCUUCAGAUGGGCAAAAGCUCUUCUCCUACCAGCAGGAUAUUCCCUACUAACCGCCGCCGUCUUUGCCGGUCAUGUCAUGUGACCCUGAUGGUCCCCAGAAAGGGCGUCCUCUGCGGCGGCGGCGGCGGCGGCGGCAGCGAUGGCCCCAUCUGGACCUGCUGCUGGUGCUCGCUCUGCCGGGCGGUCGAGAUCUUCAGCUCCAGGUCCGGCGCCAGGCCACCAGCCUUUGCCGCCGUCAGCGACGAAGAAGGGUGGCUGUGUUUCGGCGGCGCCAGGGCCAGGCUCGGCGCCGUGCGGCCAAUUCCCGCCGAGCACCGCGGCAGCUGCAGGGACAGCAGGCUGCUCGGAGGCAGCGCGGCGUGGUCGGGCCUCGCUGGUGGCCUGCCGACGCCGAGCGACAGGGCCGGCGGGAGCUGUGCCGUCGUCCCGGUUCCGGGUUCUGCGGAGCCAGUCGCGGUCGCGGUCGUGAUGGCGUCCUUGAGCCGCAGGCGCUCCAUGCCCUUGAUGGAGCUCGUCGCCGCCCUCUCGGCGUUCUCCACCUGAAACGGAAGAGGUUCGCGAAUCAGACACGCACACGCCAGGGCUGGUACAGCACGUCUCGCAUGGAGGGAGCGUGGCGACGGACGGACGGGACGGGACGGGACGUAACGUACCACGUCGAAGAGGCUGGACCUGCGCUUCUUGUGCGUCAGGCUGCUCUGCCGGAGGAAGUACUUCUGGGCGUGGCUGGCCACCUGCGUCGGGGUCCGCGUCGUCACGAAGUGCCGGGAGAUGCCUCGCCAGUCGCCCUUCCCGAGCUUCUCCAGGCCCGCCAGGAAUCGCCUGUGCUCGUCCUCCGUCCAUGGAACGCCUGGUGAUACCCAGACAAGAAGGCGAGGAGAGUUUUUUUUUUAGAAUCAGACUUGCUUAGCUCAAACAAGCUGCCGGAACAGGAGUAUUGUUGUUCUAUUCUGUUCUGUUCUAUAUAAAAGAUUUGAUGAAAUCCCGGGCCGUGGAACUCACCCUUCUUCCUCUCCUGCGCCGCCCUGCCCAUGAGCCCGUCGGAGAGGUACCCGUGGGCCAUCUUCUCGGGGGCCUCCUCCACCGAGACGAGCGACGAGGAGGAGGAGGCCGACGGCGAGGCGCUGUUGGUCGCGGCGAGAGCGGCCGCGUAGUACGCCGGCGCGGCGGACGCCGACGACGACAGGCACUCCAUGCUGAAGCACUUCUUCAUGGCCACGGGCGAGGACCCCACGUGCAGCUGCACCCCGAACAGCCUCACGCCCCCGCCCCCGGCGCCGUGCCCGCUGCAGGUCCUCGAGUUGUGGCCGUUGUUCCCACAGCUAGAGCACUUCCUAGCCAUGGGCGUGAGGCUGCGAACGGCAAGUUAAGACAGCUAGGUGCGGUGGCCGGAGGAGGAGGAAACGGGGGCCUCGAUCGGGAGGGGAUAAGAUGUCUGCGAGGAGAGGAGGAUGUUUGCAUCUGGGAGCUCGCCUCGGCCCUGCUUAAAAUAUGGCAGGGAGGGAAGGACAGGACACCGGAGAGGGGAGAAAGAUGUGGCCUGGCUGGGACUAGCGAGUUGCUGGGGAGCGCACAGCCGCACACCUGGACGCCCAUGACGGCGACGCAUUGGCAUCAUGCCCUGCUUAUGGUUAAACCGCGCUUAGAAUCCACAGGAAUCUGCAAACCCAUCCCCUCCAAUAAUAUUGCGGUCGCUGUCAAGCUUCUACAUAUGUUUAUUGUGUGGCUCAUAUCAGGAAUGAAUCUCGUUGCAAUCUUGCGUGCA
rnacentral:misc_RNA from 1 species